UCGAGAAUCUUCGGCAAUGGGCGCAAGCCUGACCGAGCGACGCCGCGUGCGGGAUGAAGGCCUUCGGGUUGUAAACCGCUGUCGGAGGGGAGGAAAUGGCGGUGGGUUCUCCCAUCGCUUUGACCUAUCCUCGGAGGAAGUGUGGGCUAAGUUCGUGCCAGCAGCCGCGGUAAGACGAACCACACAAACGUUAUUCGGAAUUACUGGGCUUAAAGGGUGCGUAGGCGGCGCGGAAAGUAGGGUGUGAAAUCCCUCAGCUUAACUGAGGAACGGCGCUCUAAACUACCGUGCUUGAGGGAGAUAGAGGAGAGCGGAACUUAGGGUGGAGCGGUGAAAUGCGUUGAUAUCCUAAGGAACACCGGUGGCGAAAGCGGCUCUCUGGAUCUCUGCUGACGCUGAGGCACGAAAGCUAGGGGAGCGAACGG
rnacentral:rRNA from 1 species